GAUGAACGCUGGCGGCGUGCCUAAUACAUGCAAGUCGAGCGAACAGACGAGGAGCUUGCUCCUUUGACGUUAGCGGCGGACGGGUGAGUAACACGUGGGUAACCUACCUAUAAGACUGGGAUAACUUCGGGAAACCGGAGCUAAUACCGGAUAAUAUUUCGAACCGCAUGGUUCGAUAGUGAAAGAUGGCUUUGCUAUCACUUAUAGAUGGACCUGCGCCGUAUUAGCUAGUUGGUAAGGUAACGGCUUACCAAGGCAACGAUACGUAGCCGACCUGAGAGGGUGAUCGACCACACUGGAACUGAGACACGGUCCAGACUCCUACGGGAGGCAGCAGUAGGGAAUCUUCCGCAAUGGGCGAAAGCCUGACGGAGCAACGCCGCGUGAGUGAUGAAGGUCUUCGGAUCGUAAAACUCUGUUAUUAGGGAAGAACAAACGUGUAAGUAACUGUGCACGUCUUGACGGUACCUAAUCAGAAAGCCACGGCUAACUACGUG
rnacentral:rRNA from 1 species